CCUGGAUCCAACGGGCCCUGCUGAGGUACCUGGUCCCAACGGGCCCUGCUGAGGUACCUGGUCUCAACGGGCCCUGCUGAGGUACCUGGUCUCAACGGGCCCUGCUGAGGUACCUGGUCUCAACGGGCCCUGCUGAGGUACCUGGAUCCAACGGGCCCUGCUGAGGUACUUGGUUAAUGAGCCAAGACUUCUGGGACUACAACCUUCAUGUGGGGCAUCUGCUGCUGCGACAGAGGCGUAGGGAGGUAUUGCAGCACCUCCAGACUGGGCUGGCCCUGCGGCCCUCACUCAGGUCAGCACACUGUGGUAUACCCCUACUCACCAGACGGGCCGCGGUCCGGACCCAGAACAAGGUCAAUA
ensembl:lncRNA